UAUCCAUUGUAAUUUCUUUUUCAUUUCCCCCCUAAUUUUCUCCCCUCACGAUCCUUCUUUCUCCCUCAAACUCUCUCGCUCUCUGUUUUCAGCCUCUGCUUUUCCGCUCUACCCCCUCUCAGCUGAUCUGUUUUUCAUCCGAUCACAUCAGCAGUGAGGAAUGGGGAUGAUAUCGGCAGUAAAGACAGCAGCAGGAGUGCCUAAAAAUGCAGCACUGGAACCAAAACCAGUUGUGAAAAGGCAUGAAAACCCAGUUCAGUGGUCGCUAUCUCCAGAGUUCAGAGUGAGGGAGGAUGGUGCAUUCUGGACAGGUGGACAAUCUAUUAGGACGACACAGAUACAGACUGAACAUCACACGCCGUGGAGGUCACAAAUAUAUUGAAUCAGACCUUCAUUAUCCAGCAGACACCACGGUGCUUCUGACAGACGGCAAACAAAGAACGAAGAUGCUGCUUCCAAGGUUGCAGGAUGGUUGGUGCCCAUCUCCAGCAGCCGUUGUGUGAGAGGCGAGCUUUCAAGAGGAUCCAAAUGAAGAGAUGCAUGGAGUCACAGAGUCACAGGAUGCUGCCAGAAAACAGGAAGUGAGAAAAAAGUCCAGUGAUGAAGAAUGACAUGCUUAAAUACUGGGGAAGGAGAGGAGAAUGACUUUGGAUGCAGGUGAGGAAAUCAGGUGGUUGGACGCAGCUGAGGAGCAAAGUGUCCGACUGUGGGAAGGAAGCAAAUUAACAUUAAGGUAAGUAUUUUUUUAAUCAUGCUUAUCUUUAAUUAUAUGCCAAAUGACAGCAUCAAAAACCUAAAGCUCUCAGAUUAGACAGUGUCGUUUAGAAUAUUACAUUUAGUGGCAAAAUCUUCAGUAUGAAACAGUCAAAAUAUGUAAAAGCUUCUGAGAGUAUACCUGCUUUAUUAAGCAUUCAUAAGAUUUACAUCAAAAAUAUCGCAGUAGAAUUUGUUUGGAUUACAAAACAUUUUGCAGAACAUAAUCCAAACUUUUUGCAAGGCUCUUCAUCAUUUGUGUACGAGAGAAGAACAAACGUCCUUGAUCCGGCUUCAUCUGAAAAAGUAAGUAAUUUAGCAGUACACACAUUCACUUCUUUACGCUUGCCAGUUUUUCAGAAGACAUUCUUGUUUGGCCCAAACUGUGUUAUUCACAGGCUGUUGCUGGAUUAAUUAGGUUUUCUCGUAUUUGUCUUUCCUCUGAUGGCUUUCCCUCCUUUUGGUCAAUUUCAGUCUGAUGAGGGAACUUAACGGAAGAACCGCAAAGAGAGAGAGAAAAAAAUAGAGCAGUAAACAAUAACCACUGAAGCCUGGCUGGAACAAACAUGCAAACUCAUUUGAGUCAGAGUCAUUGAUUAAUGUCGCAAAGCAAUUCCCCGAAUCUUUCACCGGCGCAUCUGAAAAAUAAAUGUGUAUCGAAAUGCAGGAGAGGCAAUGCCAGGCCGCCGAGGGUAAUAAAACAAUAAAAUGAAAAAAGAAAUUAGACACAGCGAGCUCAGACCGUUGCUAUCAUCUCAAUCGUGUUCAAUCCCCAAGUGCAGCUGGAGGUCGGACUCUUAUCUGCGCCUCUCACAGCUCUGUGACCAAUCAAUAGGUUUAAGCUGCUUUGCGCUCAGCCCAGCUGGAAUCUGUGAACGCCCUCAUACCAGGAGAUCUGCUCAUUUUCCUGCUGAAAGUCAUGAAAUUCCCCCAGCUUGACGUCAACAAGGUGGAGAUUUCUGUUUGCAAGUCGCAACCCAGCUCUACACUCUUAAAUGCCGUAGUCGUAAAUAAGCAAACAAACAAGCAAAACAUUGUAGAUCUCUUAAGUAUUUUUAAUGUUUUACUCUGUUACAAUUUACAUGUUUUUAUGUUUUAAUUUUUCAACAGAAACAGAAGUAAAUGGCAUAAAUACAGGAGGAACAGGUGUCCUCGGCCAUGUACGUCGGAUCAAUAAAGCUCUUCUCCCUUGUAAUCUUUCCUCACCCAGCGAUUAUUAUCCUCUGCAAAAGGCUCAAGCUGCAGAGCAUUAAAGAGAAAGUGCUCCGUCUACGUCCCGUGAAGUUACCUUGACAUGUACACUUAAAGAACAUCCACAAAGCAGAGACCAUAAUUUACUCCUACUGUCUGGAGCUGCAAAUAACACAGAGGAGGGAAUUUUCUCCCAGCCUUUUGACGGGUGCCCACUGCAAGAAAAGAGCUGUUGUUUAAAAAAGAAAAUUUUAGUAGAAACCUACAGUAGUGGGUUGUCAUCAUAGCAAAGAGAGCAAAGCUCUGACAGAGGUUAUGACGGACAUGUAGCAAUGGUGGAUAGAUGCUAGAAUGGUUCUGAGAAACCGUGAAUCCAGCAGCACCGUCAUACGAGGCAUAAAUCAAAUUUCAAACGUCUAAGCUUCGCUGCUCCUCAUCGUACGAUCUCUGGCGUCGUUUAGACGUGAAGAAUUUCAGCCUGAGUGAAAUCAUGCAGCAUUUAGAAGAUCUUUCUGAAACAAAACCCUCUGAUGCCUCUGAUGAAUGUCUAGAUUUGUAAAGAUGAUGCAACUGCAGCAAAACAUGACCGCCUGAUGGACAGUUUGUUUUGCACGAGGCGUUGGUCACACACAAAUACUGGACCGUAGAAGGAAAAUGUUGAGGUCACAUUACAUAAUAGUGUCUCAUUAUCGUGUUUUAGACCAGGAGCCUGUAACAUUUACCAUUCAAAUAAAACUCAUUUAGGGCCACAAGAGUUACAUGAACUUUGCAAGACAAUUUUUUUUAAUUAUUGAUUA